rnacentral:lncRNA from 1 species
AAAUUAUAUACUAAAGAUGUAUAUUCACUUUUUAUCGAUCGGGUAAGUGUUUCUCCUAUUUCACAACAAAGGUGGGAAGAAAGUUUUAAUAUAGAAAUUAGUGACGAAAAGUGGAACAAUAUUUAUUCACUAGCUUUUAAAUGUACUAUUGAAAGCAAACUACAAGCUUUUCAAUAUAAAGUGUUACACAGAAUAGUCUCACAUAAUUAUCUCCUUGAAAAAUAUAAACUUUCUUUAACUAAUGAAUGUGCCAGUUGUAAAGAAAUAGAAACUAUAGAGC